GAUAUUUGGCGCUCAUUCUCCAAUCGUUGGAUUUCACCAUCAUCCGGUGUGGAAUUUGUGCCUGUUUUUCCUCCCGUGUACACAUCUACUGUUCCACCUCACGCUGGGAAGAGCUGGAUAGAUAAAAGGCUGCCGAGCUGCAAAAUAUACCUAAAUAAUGCAUUUGCUCUGGAUUCGGCGUGGAUACAUCCUGAGGAACCGCGUCUCUUCCAGGGCAGCGAGAAGCCUCUGCUAAUGACAAAUCAGGUGGCGAUGGCCGUUGCCAGGCCAGCUCCUGCCUCCAGGCCUCUUCCCACAGUGGUGCUGGCACCUCCGCUGAUGCCAGGUGGCUGCCGGCGCGGUCCCAGCCCAGUGGGCAGCCCUCCAAGCCUGGCGCUGCUGGCAGUGGAGGCUGAAGCCCCCCCAGGACCACCCCCACCCAGCAUCCCGCAGUGCCGCCUGCUCACCCUCUCACCCCUCAGGAUCCCAGUGCUGGGCUCCCCAUUC